rnacentral:rRNA from 1 species
CCUACGUGAGGCAGCAGUGAGGAAUAUUGGUCAAUGGGCUUACGCCUGAACCAGCCAAGUCGCGUGAGGGAAGACUGCCCUAUGGGUUGUAAACCUCUUUUGUCAGGGAGCAACGCCGGCUACGUGUAGCCGGACUGAGAGUACCUGAAGAAAAAGCAUCGGCUAACUCCGUGCCAGCAGCCGCGGUAAUACGGAGGAUGCGAGCGUUAUCCGGUUUUAUUGGGUUUAAAGGGUGCGUAGGCGGAAUGCCAAGUCAGCGGUAAAAUCGCGGGGCUCAACCUCGCUCCGCCGUUGAAACUGGCGUUCUUGAGUGGGCGAGAAGUAUGCGGAAUGCGUGGUGUAGCGGUGAAAUGCAUAGAUAUCACGCAGAACUCCGAUUGCGAAGGCAGCAUACCGGCGCCCAACUGACGCUGAAGCACGAAAGCGUGGGUAUCGAACAGGAUUAGAUACCCGGGUAGUC